rnacentral:rRNA from 1 species
CCUACGGGGGGCUGCAGUCGAGAAUCUUCGGCAAUGAGCGCAAGCUUGACCGAGCGAUGCCGCGUGCGGGAUGAAGGCCCUCGGGUUGUAAACCGCUGUCGUAGGGGAGUACAAUCCUAGGAGGAAGGACGGGCUAAGUUCGUGCCAGCAGCCGCGGUAAGACGAACCGUCCAAACGUUAUUCGGAAUCACUGGGCUUACAGAGUUCGUAGGCGGUCUGGAAAGUUGGGUGUGAAAUCCCUCGGCUCAACCGAGGAACUGCGCUCAAAACUACCCGACUCGAGGGAGAUAGAGGAAAGCGGAACUGAUGGUGGAGCGGUGAAAUGCGUUGAUAUCAUCAGGAACACCGGUGGCGAAGGCGGCUUUCUGGGUCUUCCUGACGCUGAGGAACGAAAGCUAGGGGAGCGAACGGGAUUAGAUACCCUUGUAGUC